ensembl:lncRNA
AGGCUUAAACGAACACACCAGUUGUGUGUACAUGGGGUGUGCACUGCCCAUGUAGCAUGAGCUAUGAUAUGAUACGCUGGUACAUGCCAACACACACACACACACACACACACACACACACACACACACACACACACAAUUUCAGCGAAAUCAAUAUUUUUUUAUUGAGGAAUCCAUUAUGUCAAGAACUCUUGACGUGCACCUGAAAGGAAAGCAAGUGAAAGCAUCGGAGCGUCUCCGGGUUCCCGCAGUCCGCUUUCCCAUGAACCCUCACUGCGUCGCGAGAAUGCGGCAGUCAUAAUUUCAUCUACAGCCUCAAGUACAACCCUGAUGUCACUAUUACAACUCAAAAUGUAAUUAAAGAUCUAUAAUGAGCAAUUUGUGUAAUCUGGUCACCCAAGGAAAGCGUUAAAAACAGCUCGCCCCACUCACACACCACCUACGCCUUUGUUUGGCGUCUUGUUUUUUGCUGAAAAACCUCCUUCCUGCGAGCCUUUGAGAAGUUUAAUCACCUCUCCUUCUUUCUCUCUCUCUCUCUCCCUCUCCCUCCUUCUCUCUCUCCCCCUCUCCCGCCUUCUCUCGCUCUCCCUUCUCUCUCCCCACCGCUGUGCCGCGGAGUCGUGUUGGCGUGACGGGGUGGAAAAGGUCACUCCUGUUUCUUCGUUUUCGGGGCAAGUGGAGCGAGGGAAGAGGAGGAGCGAGGAGGAGGGCAGAAGCAGGUAGAGGCCUCUCUGCACUCGUCCGCUGUUCUGUCGGUUCUGUGGACCGAGCGCUAAUGGGGCGUCACGCUGAGCUGGCGCAGAGCACGCCUGCUGCUGCUGCUGUACAUUAUGGGAAACACACCUUCACACACACACACACACACACACACACAGAGAGAGAGAGAAGGCCGAUCGAUGCAGUAAGAGAUGCGGAAUUGCGCGCGUGUGUGUGCGUGUGUGAGAGGAAAAAACAGAGCCAACAGCAACACAAAGACAAAUUUGAUAUUUUUUUUAUGAUCCACUCGACACAAUUACACCACAGGAGCAUUUUCUCCAUUCUCAUGAUGUGUGUGUGUGUGUGUGUGUGACCCCAGUGCACGAUGUGUGAUGAAAUAUCAAAUCUCCACAAAGAUAUACACACGGUGUAAGACAAGAACAAUACAACAAAUUACACAACACACACACACACACACACACACACACACACACACACGCUCCAGAAGCGAAGAUGUACUCAUGGGAAAUAUUCGAUAGUCGUUUACUACUCAGGUGGCCGAUCAAUUCUCAAAAUAAUUAUGACAGACAAGUUAAUCUGCAGGAUUUCUACAAUCUCAACGGUACUCUUUCACUUCCUGUGGUUCCUGCUUCUCUACACAGACUCCGCCCACUAAAAAAAACUCGUGUAAUAUUCCUUUUCAGCCAGUUUUGUGAUAGCUCCGCCCAUCGGAACCUUUACACUUUCCCCGUUAACCCUUCGCCUAACCGAACCCUAGGUGAAAUAAAUUCCAUUCUAAUUUGGAGAUAUCGUUUCAGAUUGUCAGCCUCCUCAGCCAAUCAGAUUCGCCUCGUAUCUGGCCUCCAUUUACGCAAGCGCGCGUUUUACAUACGGGACGUCUGAGUCGGGGAGAUUAAAAAAAUAAAGUCAGAACUCGGCAAUUAAUCAUCGUUUGGUUGGAUAUAGUGAUACGGUGGGGUAGACAAAGAGCAUAUGGAGAGUGAGACCGUCAGAGUGAGGCAAAGAGUGAGACAGAAAGAGUGAAACAGAUACAGUGAGGUAGACAAAGAGCAUACGGAGAGUGAGGCAAAGAGUGAGACAGAAAAAAGUGAAACAGGUACAGUGAGGUAGAUAAAGAGCAUACAGAGAGUGAGACAGUCAGAGUGAGGCAAAGAGUGAGACAGAGUGAAACAGAUACAGUGAGGUAGACAAAGAGCACACAGAGAGUGAGACAGUCAGAGUGAGACGGGAAAAAGUGAAACAGGUACAGUGAGGUAGACAAAGAGCAUACAGAGAGUGAGACAGUCAGAGUGAGACAGUCAGACUGAGACAGAAAAAAGUGAAACAGGUACAGUGAGGUAGAAAAAGAGCAUACAGAGAGUGAGACAGUCAGAAUGAGGCAAAGAGUGAGACAGAAAAAAGUGAAACAGAUACAUUGAGGUAGAAAAAGAGCAUACAGAGAGUGAGACAGUCAGAGUGAGACAGUCAGAGUGAGACAGGAAAAAGUGAAACAGGUACAGUGAGGUAGAAAAAGAGCAUACAGAGAGUGAGACAGUCAGAGUGAGACAGUCAGAGUGAGACAGGAAAAAGUGAAACAGGUACAGUGAGGUAGAAAAAGAGCAUACAGAGAGUGAGACAGUCAGAGUGAGACAGUCAGAGAGAGACGGGAAAAAGUGAAACAGGUACAGUGAGGUAGAAAAAGAGCACACAGAGAGUGAGACAGUCAGAGUGAGACAGUCAGAGUGAGACGGGAAAAAGUGAAACAGGUACAGUGAGGUAGACGAAGAGCACACAGAGAGUCACAUAUGGACCGGUUUCACUGAUCGACACGGACGUAUUUCAUGAAUCUGCUCUGUAUUCAUCGUGUUUCUCAGGUCUAAGACCGUGAAGAUCGGACUUGCGUUCUCGUGAAGUCUGUGAAGAACCGGUCUUGCCCGGCUACCUUGGAAGAACGACCUUCACGCAUCUUUGCGAGAACUGAGAUGUGCUGCGCGCUUCCUGCUGCGCGGUGCACCGUCCCAGCACAUCUCUCGUAGAGGGACAGGACCGUCGUCUCUUCAUUGCUGCCGGAGUAAUAUGUUUCAGCCGCUUAACAGAUUCGCUCUUACACGGCUGAUUAACCGGAAGUUAAUUAAGACCAGUUUAAUGUAGUAAGCUCGCUGCGACCUCACGUUAACUAAAAACGAAGCUGAGGAGUUUCCCGUCUCCUCAGGGUGGACGCUAGCGUUGAUUAAUUCAAAUAUUUCGGAGAGAUAGAUUCCACUUUUCAACCAGCUCAUAUAUAUCUCAAUCUAAAUCUUAUCUCACAUGCGUUCUUUUACGAUGCAUCUUUGGAUUAUUGUCUGUAAAGAGACGUUAAAAGUGUCAUGUGACCGCCGCUUUCGUCACGGGGCAGGCUUCAGAGAGAGAGAGAGAGAGAGAGAGAGAGAGAGAGAGAGAGAGACGGAGGGUUCGAUAUAGUGAGGUAGACAAAGAGCAUCUAGAGAGUGAGACAGAAAAAGCGUGAGCUGGAUAGUGAGACAUAGAAAGAGAGUAAGGCAAAGAGUGAGACAGACAAAGAAUGAGACAGAAUGUGAGACAGACAAAGAAUGAGACAGAGAGUGAGACAGACAAAGAGCAUCUAGAGAGUGAGACAGAAAAAGAAUGAGCUGGAUAGUGAGACAUAGAAAGAGAGUAAGGCAAAGAGUGAGACAGACAAAGAAUGAGACAGAAUGUGAGACAGACAAAGAAUGAGACAGAGAGUGAGACAGACAAAGAGCAUCCAGAGAGUGAGACAGAAAAAGAAUGAGCUGGAUAGUGAGACAUAGAAAGAGAGUAAGGCAAAGAGUGAGACAGACAAAGAAUGAGACAGAGAGUGAGACAGACAAAAGAGCAUAUAGAGAGUGAGACGGAUAGUAAGACAGAGAGAGUGAGACAAAGACUGAGAGAGAAAAAAGUGAAACAUAUAGUGAGGUAGACAAAGAGCGUAUAGAGGGCGAGACAGAAAAACAGUGAGCUGGAUAAUAGACAGAGACAGAGAGACAGAGAGUGAGACAGACAAAGCACAUAGAGAGUGAGACGGAUAGAGAGAGAGAUGCAAAGAGUGAGAUAGGGAGUGAGACAGGCAAAGAAUGAGACUAAGUAUGAGGCAGAAAAGGAGCAAGAUAGAGUGAGGCAAAGAGUGAGACAGGUAUAUAUAUAGAGACAGAUGCAAAGAGUGAGACAGGGAGUGAGACGAAGUGUGAGGUAGAAAAAGAGUGAGACAAAGAAUGUGAGAGAGUGAGGUACAGCGUGAGGCACAAAAAAAAGAGAGCGGCAGAGAGUGAGACCAAAAGAGUGCAGUAGAGUGAGGCAGAAAGAGUGAGACAGAGAGCGAGACAGAAAAAAACCCUCUUUCUCUCAUCCUCGCUAACUAGCGUUUAACUGAGCAGCUAGCGUAUCAUUUACCUCCUGCCUGCUCACACGGAUGCACGUGUGCAGGUGUUUCACACGCCACACACUCAAUCUAAUCCAUUACACGACAAGAUAAACAACUUUAAACCUUCAACGGAAACAAGACCUCAGCUACGCUAAGCUAGCUGUCUUCAUCCGUGUCUGAGAGAAACUGAAGAAGACGCGCUUUUGGCUAAUGUGAGCGAGUGGUGCGGUGGAGUGUAAUCUAACGCAACGCCUCAUAAUCCGGUCAUCGGGGUUCAAAUCUAGACGACGCCUCUGUGUUGCUUCCACGCAUUUCCUUCACACCUCCAUUUACCUUCCUAAGGUUGAAGAAAAGCAUGUUGCGAGCACAUAAUCUAGUUGUGUUAGUCUAAAAAUUACCGGGCUAAUUUAAGAGCCAUUACAGCAAUAUACUAUAAUCUACUCCACUUUUACAGCCAUUAUGGAUCCAGUGUCUUAUUUCUAAACCGGUGUCUAUGAGCUUCCCUCGCUCGUUAGCCUGUACACGCCAGUCUAAAGACGUGAGAGCAAACAUCUGGCAUCGAGCUUGUACCUGUUCUUAAAUAUCAGACGAGUGGAUUAUGUUACACACGCUGCGUUAAAGUUAAGUCGAUUCAAUUUCCUGUCUAGUCCAGCCUUCAUCGUCAUUACUGUCCUCGUCGUCAUCAUCAUCAGCGUUAUCGUCAGAGAGAGAGAGAGACAGACAGAGAGAGACAGACAGAGAGAGAAAGAGAGACAGAGAGAGACAGACAGAGAGAGAGAAAGAGAGAGACAGAGAGACAGACAGACAGACAGACAGACAGAGAGAGACAGACAGAGAGACAAAGAGAGAGGGAGACAGAGAGACAGAGAGAGAGAGAGAGAAAGAA